AAAGUAAACAAGAGCUUACGGUGGAUACCUUGGCAUUUAGAAGCGAUGAAGGGCGUGAUUACCUGCGAAAUUCUUCGGGUAGCUGGAAAUAAGCUUAGAUCCGGAGGUUCCCGAAUGAGGAAACUCUUUAUACUGUCUACUGAAUUAAUAAGUAGAUAAGAGCUAACUUGGCGAACUGAAACAUCUUAGUAGCCAAAGGAAAAGAAAGCAAAAGCGAUUCCCUCAGUAGCGGCGAGCGAAAUGGGAUCAGCCUAAACCAUUAUGACGAGUCAUAGUGGGGUAGAGGGACGGAAAUAACAAUUAGUUAUUAUUAUAAGAAAUAGUUGGAAUACUAUACCGUAGAAGGUGAAAGUCCCGUAUUUUAAAAUAAGAUCCUAAUUAUUCCGUAUCCCAAGUAGCAUGGAGCACGUGAAAUUCCGUGUGAAUCUGCGAGGACCACCUCGUAAGGCUAAAUAUUACUAAAUGACCGAUAGUGAACUAGUACCGUGAGGGAAAGGUGAAAAGAACCCCGGGAGGGGAGUGAAAUAGAACAUGAAACCGUAAGCUUACAAGCAGUAGUAGGACGACUCAACGUCUGUCUGCGUGCAUGUUGAAGAAUGAGCCGGCGACUUAUAGAUAAUGGCAGGUUAAGAUAAAAAAUAUCGGAGCCAUAGUGAAAGCGAGCUUUAAUAGAGCAUAAGUCAUUAUUUAUAGACCCGAACCCGAAUGAUCUAACCAUGGCCAGGGUGAAGCUUAGGUAAUACUAAGUGGAGGUCCGAACCGACUGAUGUUGAAAAAUCAGCGGACGAGCUGUGGUUAGGGGUGAAAUGCCAAUCGAAUUCGGAGCUAGCUGGUUCUCCCCGAAAUGCGUUUUGGCGCAGCGGUUGAUGCUUAAACUUAGGGGUAAAGCACUGUUUCGGUGCGGGCUGCGAGAGCGGUACCAAAUCAAGGCAAACUCUGAAUACUAAGUGUGUAGUCAACCAGUGAGACAGUGGGGGAUAAGCUUCAUUGUCAAAAGGGAAACAGCCCAGAUCACCAUCUAAGGCCCUUAAAUAAUUGCUAAGUGGCAAAGGAGGUAGGAAUGCAUAGACAACCAGGAGGUUUGCUUAGAAGCAGCAAUCCUUUAAAGAGUGCGUAAUAGCUCACUGGUCUAGUGAUCCUGCGCCGAAAAUGAACGGGACUAAGUAAUUUGCCGAAGAUGUGGGAUGUUUACAUCGGUAGGGGAGCGUUCUGUAGUAAAUCGAAGCAUUAACGUAAGUGGAUGUGGAUGAAACAGAAGUGAGAAUGUCGGCUUGAGUAGCGAAAACAUUGGUGAGAAUCCAAUGCCCCGAAAACCUAAGGAUUCCUUCGGAAGGUUCGUCCACGAAGGGUUAGUCAGGACCUAAGGCGAGGCUGAAAAGCGUAGUCGAUGGAUAACAGGUUAAUAUUCCUGUACUGUUUAUUAUUGAUAUCGAGGGACGGAGCAGGCUAAAUCAUCCAGGCGUUGGUUACUGGUUUAAAUUUUUAAGGCUAUGAUAGGUAGAGAAAAUACCUUGAGCUAAAAGAUGAGUACAAGGUGCUACGGCACCGAAGUGAUUGAUGUCAUACUUCCAAGAAAAGCUUGUAAUAUCUUAAAUAAUAAAUACCUGUACCCUAAACCGACACAGGUAGGUAGGUAGAGUAUACUAAGGGGAUCGAGAUAACUCUCUCUAAGGAACUCGGCAAAAUAGCCCCGUAACUUCGGAAGAAGGGGUACCCUUGUAGGGUUGCAAUAAAUAGGCCCAAGCGACUGUUUAUCAAAAACACAAGUCUCCGCGAAGUCGUAAGACAAUGUAUGGGGGCUGACGCCUGCCCAGUGCCGGAAGGUUAAAGAAAUUGGUUAGUUUGAUAACGAAGCUAGUGACUGAAGCCCCGGUGAACGGCGGCCGUAACUAUAACGGUCCUAAGGUAGCGAAAUUCCUUGUCGGGUAAGUUCCGACCCGCACGAAAGGCGUAACGAUUUGGGCACUGUCUCGGAGAGAGACUCGGCGAAAUAGAAUUGUCUGUGAAGAUGCGGACUACCUGCACCUGGACAGAAAGACCCUAUGAAGCUUUACUGUAGUCUGAAAUUGAAUUUGGGUUUACUUUGCGCAGAAUAGGUGGGAGGCUAAGAUAAUAUAUUUGAGGAUAUAGAGGAGCCAUCAGUGAGAUACCACUCUGAUUAAACUAGAAUUCUAAUCUUACUGCCGUUAUCCGGCUAAGAGACAUUUUCAGGUGGGCAGUUUGACUGGGGCGGUCGCCUCCUAAAAGGUAACGGAGGCGUGCAAAGGUUCUCUCAGGCUGGUCGGAAAUCAGUCGUAGAGUGUAAAGGCAUAAGAGAGCUUGACUGUGAGACCUACAAGUCGAACAGAGACGAAAGUCGGCCUUAGUGAUCCGACAGUGCUGAGUGGAAAGGCUGUCGCUCAACGGAUAAAAGUUACUCUAGGGAUAACAGGCUGAUCUCCCCCAAGAGUUCACAUCGACGGGGAGGUUUGGCACCUCGAUGUCGGCUCAUCGCAUCCUGGGGCGGUAGCACGUCCCAAGGGUUGGGCUGUUCGCCCAUGAAAGCGGUACGCGAGCUGGGUUCAGAACGUCGUGAGACAGUUCGGUCCAUAUCCGGUGUAGGCGUUAGAGUAUUGAGAGGACUUCUCCUUAGUACGAGAGGACCGGGAGAGACAUACCUCUGGUGUACCAGUUAUUGUGCCAACAGUAAACGCUGGGUAGCUAAGUAUGGACAAGAUAACCGCUGAAAGCAUCUAAGUGGGAAACUUACCUCAAGAUGAAUACUCUUAGAUCAUAGUUAGACUAACUAUUUGAUAGGCGUUAAGUGUAAGUAUAGUAAUAUAUUCAGCUGAGACGUACUAAUAGAUCAAAUACUUUUAAAAUUAUU
rnacentral:rRNA from 1 species